GCCUGAGUGGCUCAGUCAGUUAAGUGUCUGACUCCAGCUCAGGUCAUGAUCUCACAGUUCAUGGGUUCGAGCCCCACGUCAGGCU
rnacentral:tRNA from 1 species